rnacentral:rRNA from 1 species
AUUGAACGCUGGCGGCAUGCCUUACACAUGCAAGUCGAACGGCAGCGGACCUUCGGGUGCCGGCGAGUGGCGAACGGGUGAGUAAUGCAUCGGAACGUACCUUUCAGUGGGGGAUAACGUAGCGAAAGUUACGCUAAUACCGCAUAUUCUGUGAGCAGGAAAGCAGGGGAUCGCAAGACCUUGCGCUGAUUGAGCGGCCGAUGGCAGAUUAGCUAGUUGGUGAGGUAAAGGCUCACCAAGGCGACGAUCUGUAGCGGGUCUGAGAGGAUGAUCCGCCACACUGGGACUGAGACACGGCCCAGACUCCUACGGGAGGCAGCAGUGGGGAAUUUUGGACAAUGGGGGCAACCCUGAUCCAGCCAUGCCGCGUGAGUGAAGAAGGCCUUCGGGUUGUAAAGCUCUUUCGGCCGGGAAGAAAUCGCACAGGCUAAUACCCUGUGUGGAUGACGGUACCGGAAUAAGAAGCACCGGCUAACUACGUGCCAGCCGCCGCCGUAAAAC